rnacentral:rRNA from 1 species
AGUGAACGCUGGCGGUAGGCCUAACACAUGCAAGUCGAACGGCAGCACAGGAGAGCUUGCUCUCUGGGUGGCGAGUGGCGGACGGGUGAGGAAUACAUCGGAAUCUACUCUGUCGUGGGGGAUAACGUAGGGAAACUUACGCUAAUACCGCAUACGACCUACGGGUGAAAGAAGGGGACCUUCGGGCCUUGCGCGAUUGACUGAGCCGAUGUCGGAUUAGCUAUGUGGCGGGGUAAAGGCCCACCAAGGCGACGAUCCGUAGCUGGUCUGAGAGAAUGAUCAGCCACACUGGAACUGAGACACGGGCCCGACUCCUACGGGAGGCAGCAGUGGGGAAUAUUGGACAAUGGGCGCAAGCCUGAUCCAGCCAUACCGCGUGGGUGAAGAAGGCCUUCGGGUUGUAAAGCCCUUUUGUUGGGAAAGAAAUCCAGCUGGCUAAUACCCGGUUGGGAUGACGGUACCCAAAGAAUAAGCACCGGCUAACUUCGUGCCAGCAGCCGCCGUAA